rnacentral:rRNA from 1 species
UACGUAGGGGGCUAGCGUUAUCCGGAACUACUGGGCGUAAAGGGUGCGUAGGUGGUUUCUUAAGUCAGAGGUGAAAGGCUACGGCUCAACCGUAGUAAGCCUUUGAAACUGGGAAACUUGAGUGCAGGAGAGGAGAGUGGAAUUCCUAGUGUAGCGGUGAAAUGCGUAGAUAUUAGGAGGAACACCAGUUGCGAAGGCGGCUCUCUGGACUGUAACUGACACUGAGGCACGAAAGCGUGGGGAGCAAACAGG